UGGCGGACGGGUGAGUAAUGUCUGGGGAACUGCCUGAUGGAGGGGGAUAACUACUGGAAACGGUAGCUAAUACCGCAUAACGUCGCAAGACCAAAGAGGGGGACCUUCGGGCCUCUUGCCAUCGGAUGUGCCCAGAUGGGAUUAGCUAGUAGGUGGGGUAACGGCUCACCUAGGCGACGAUCCCUAGCUGGUCUGAGAGGAUGACCAGCCACACUGGAACUGAGACACGGUCCAGACUCCUACGGGAGGCAGCAUG
rnacentral:rRNA from 1 species